GAUGAACGCUGGCGGCGUGCCUAAUACAUGCAAGUCGAACGCAUAGCGAAAGGUGCUUGCACCUUUCAAGUGAGUGGCGAACGGGUGAGUAACACGUGGACAACCUGCCUCAAGGCUGGGGAUAACAUUUGGAAACAGAUGCUAAUACCGAAUAAAACUUAGUGUCGCAUGACACAAAGUUAAAAGGCGCUUCGGCGUCACCUAGAGAUGGAUCCGCGGUGCAUUAGUUAGUUGGUGGGGUAAAGGCCUACCAAGACAAUGAUGCAUAGCCGAGUUGAGAGACUGAUCGGCCACAUUGGGACUGAGACACGGCCCAAACUCCUACGGGAGGCUGCAGUAGGGAAUCUUCCACAAUGGGCGAAAGCCUGAUGGAGCAACGCCGCGUGUGUGAUGAAGGCUUUCGGGUCGUAAAGCACUGUUGUAUGGGAAGAACAGCUAGAAUAGGAAAUGAUUUUAGUUUGACGGUACCAUACCAGAAAGGGACGGCUAAAUACG
rnacentral:rRNA from 1 species